rnacentral:rRNA from 1 species
GAUGAACGCUGGCGGCGUGCCUAAUACAUGCAAGUCGAGCGAACGGAUGAGAAGCUUGCUUCUCUGAUGUUAGCGGCGGACGGGUGAGUAACACGUGGAUAACCUACCUAUAAGACUGGGAUAACUUCGGGAAACCGGAGCUAAUACCGGAUAAUAUUUUGAACCGCAUGGUUCAAAAGUGAAAGACGGUCUUGCUGUCACUUAUAGAUGGAUCCGCGCUGCAUUAGCUAGUUGGUAAGGUAACGGCUUACCAAGGCAACGAUGCAUAGCCGACCUGAGAGGGUGAUCGGCCACACUGGAACUGAGACACGGCCCAGACUCCUACGGGAGGCAGCAGUAGGGAAUCUUCCGCAAUGGGCGAAAGCCUGACGGAGCAACGCCGCGUGAGUGAUGAAGGUCUUCGGAUCGUAAAACUCUGUUAUUAGGGAAGAACAUAUGUGUAAGUAACUGUGCACAUCUUGACGGUACCUAAUCAGAAAGCCACGGCUAACUACGUG